rnacentral:rRNA from 1 species
GACGAGGCCACACGAACGUUAUUCGGAAUUACUGGGCGUAAAGGGCGCGUAGGCGGCCUUGCUGAAGUCGAACGUGAAAUCCCUGGGCUCAACCCAGGAACUGCGUCCGAUACUGGUUGGCUUGAAUCCGGGAGAGGGACGUGGAAUUCCAGGUGUAGCGGUGGAAUGCGUAGAUAGUCGGGAAGAAUGACCGGUGGCGAAGGCGUUCCGCUGGGCCGUUGCGUGACGCUGAGGCGCGACAGCGUGGGGAGCAA